GAUGAACGCUGGCGGCGUGCCUAAUACAUGCAAGUCGAGCGAACAGACGAGGAGCUUGCUCCUCUGACGUUAGCGGCGGACGGGUGAGUAACACGUGGAUAACCUACCUAUAAGACUGGGAUAACUUCGGGAAACCGGAGCUAAUACCGGAUAAUAUAUUGAACCGCAUGGUUCAAUAGUGAAAGACGGUUUUGCUGUCACUUAUAGAUGGAUCCGCGCCGCAUUAGCUAGUUGGUAAGGUAACGGCUUACCAAGGCGACGAUGCGUAGCCGACCUGAGAGGGUGAUCGGCCACCCGGGAACUGAGACACGGUACAGACACCUACGGGAGGAAGCAGUAGGGAAUCUUACGCAAUGGGCGAAAGCGUGACGGAGCAAAGCCGCGGGAGUGAUGAAGGUCUACGGAUCGGAAAACUCUGUUAUUAGGGAAGAACAAAUGUGUAAGUAACUAUGCACGUCUUGACGGUACCUAAUCAGAAAGCCACGGCUAACUACGUG
rnacentral:rRNA from 1 species